rnacentral:snRNA from 1 species
AUAAAUAAAUCUUAAAAAAAAAAAAAAAAGGAACGCUACAGAGAAGAUUAGCAUGGCCUCUGCGCAAGGAUGACAUGCAAAUUUGUGAAGCAUUCCAUAUUUAA